AGUCUCGGCUAACUACGUGCCAGCAGCCGCGGUAAAACGUAGGAGGCAAGCGUUAUCCGGAUUUACUGGGCGUAAAGCGCGUGCAGGUGGUUUCUUAAGUCGGACGUGAAAGCUCUCGGCUCAACUGGGAGAGGUCGUUCGAAGCUAGGGAACUUGAGGGUGGUAGAGGAGAGUGGAAUUCCCGGUGUAGUGGUGAAAUGCGUAGAUAUCGGGAGGAACACCAGUGGCGAAGGCGGCUCUCUGGGCCAUUCCUGACGCUAAGACGCGAAAGCUAGGGGAGAGAACGGGAUUAGAAACCCCGGUAUUCCUAGCCGUAAACGAUGUCAACUAGGUGUAGGGGGUAUCCAACCCCCCUGUGCUGUAGCUAACGCGUUAAGUUGACCGCCUGGGGACUACGGCCGCAAGGCUAAAACUCAAAGGAAUUGACGGGGACCCGCACAAGCAGCGGAGCGUGUGGUUUAAUUCGAGGCUACGCGAAGAACCUUACCAGGGUUUGACAUGGCGGUGGUAGGAAUGCGAAAGCUGACCGACCCUUCGGGGAGCCGUCACAGGUGCUGCAUGGCUGUCGUCAGCUCGUGCCGUGAGGUGUUAGGUUAAGUCCUGUAACGAGCGCAACCCUCGUCGCUAGUUAUACGUGUCUAGCGAGACUGCCGGCGAUAAGCCGGAGGAAGGUGAGGAUGAUGUCAAGUCAGCAUGGCCUUUAUAUCCUGGGCUACACACACGCUACAAUGGCCGGUACAAUGGGUUGCCAAGCCGCGAGGCGGAGCCAAUCCCCCAAAGCCGGUCUCAGUUCGGAUUGCAGGCUGCAACUCGCCUGCAUGAAGUCGGAGUUGCUAGUAACCGCGCGUCAGCAACAGUGCGGUGAAUACGUUCCCGGGUCUUGUACACACCGCCCGUCACGUCAUGGAAGUUGGCAACGCUUGAAGUCGAUGAGCUAACCCUAACGGGAGGCAAUCGCCCAAGGCGGGGUCGGUAACUGGGACGAAGUCGUAACAAGGUACCCGUA
rnacentral:rRNA from 1 species